GAGGGGCAGCAUGAAGUUUGCUUGCAAACUUUGAUGGCGACCGGCGCACGGGUGAGUAACGCGUAUCCAUCCUUCCCUAUAGUAGAGAAUAGCCCGGCGAAAGUCGGAUUAAUGCUCUAUGUUAUUCAAAGCGGACAUCUAAUUUGAAUCAAAGGUUCACCGCUAUAGGAUGGGGAUGCGUCUGAUUGGCUUGAUGGCGGGGUAACGGCCCACCAUGGCGACGAUCAGUAGGGGUUCUGAGAGGAAGGUCCCCCACAUUGGAACUGAGACACGGUCGAAACUCCUACGGGAGGCAGCAGUGAGGAAUAUUGGUCAAUGGGCGAGAGCCUGAACCAGCCAAGUAGCGUGCAGGAUGACGGCCCUAUGGGUUGUAAACUGCUUUUAUGCGGGGAUAAAGUCGGCUACGCGUAGCCGUUUGUAGGUACCGCAUGAAUAAGGACCGGCUAAUUCCGUGCCAGCAGCCGCGGUAAUACGGAAGGUCCGGGCGUUAUCCGGAUUUAUUGGGUUUAAAGGGAGCGCAGGCCGGAGGUCAAGCGUGACGUGAAAUGUAGCCGCUCAACGGCUGAGUUGCGUCGCGAACUGGUUUCCUUGAGUGAGUACGACGUCAGCGGAAUUCGUGGUGUAGCGGUGAAAUGCUUAGAUAUCACGAAGAACCCCGAUUGCGAAGGCAGCUGACGAGUCCUUUACUGACGCUAAAGCUCGAAGGUGCGGGUAUCGAGCAGGAUUAGAUACCCUGGUAGUCCGCACGGUAAACGAUGGAUGCCCGCUGUUUGCGAUAUAUUGUAAGCGGCCAAGCGAAAGCGUUAAGCAUCCCACCUGGGGAGUACGCCGGCAACGGUGAAACUCAAAGGAAUUGACGGGGGCCCGCACAAGCGGAGGAACAUGUGGUUUAAUUCGAUGAUACGCGAGGAACCUUACCCGGGCUUGAACUGCAGGAGAACGACCCAGAGAUGGUGAGGCCCUUCGGGGCUCCUGUGGAGGUGCUGCAUGGUUGUCGUCAGCUCGUGCCGUGAGGUGUCGGCUUAAGUGCCAUAACGAGCGCAACCCCUUUCGCCAGUUGCCAUCAGGUGAUGCUGGGCAC
rnacentral:rRNA from 1 species